rnacentral:rRNA from 1 species
AAUAGAUACCCGGGUAGUCCACGCCGUAAACGAUGAGUGCUAAGUGUUAGAGGGUUUCCGCCCUUUAGUGCUGCAGCUAACGCAUUAAGCACUCCGCCUGGGGAGUACGGCCGCAAGGCUGAAACUCAAAGGAAUUGACGGGGGCCCGCACAAGCGGUGGAGCAUGUGGUUUAAUUCGAAGCAACGCGAAGAACCUUACCAGGUCUUGACAUCCUCUGCCAACCCUAGAGAUAGGGCGUUCCCCUUCGGGGGACAGAGUGACAGGUGGUGCAUGGUUGUCGUCAGCUCGUGUCGUGAGAUGUUGGGUUAAGUCCCGCAACGAGCGCAACCCUUGAUCUUAGUUGCCAGCAUUCAGUUGGGCACUCUAAGGUGACUGCCGGUGACAAACCGGAGGAAGGUGGGGAUGACGUCAAAUCAUCAUGCCCCUUAUGACCUGGGCUACACACGUGCUACAAUGGAUGGUACAAAGAGCUGCGAACCCGCGAGGGUAGCGAAUCUCAUAAAGCCAUUCUCAGUUCGGAUUGUAGG